GAACAAGACUGGACCUAGUACUGACCCCUGAAGAACACCUCUAGUUACAGACCUCCAACUAGACUCUGCACCACUGAUCACAACCUUUUGAGCUCUGCCAGUCAGUCAGUUCUCAAUCCAUCUCACUGUCCACUCAUGUCCCACACUCUGUAAACUUAUCCACGAGGAUGUUAUCAGAGACAGUUUCAAAAGCCUUGAUUAAAUCAAAGUAUACAACAUCCACUGCUCUCCCCUCAUCUAUGCAGCUGGCUGAUUCUGACAUCAUAGAAGCCUGCCACAUUGCUCAAGUAUGAUUUCCCCUUUGCAAAGCCAUGCUGCCUAUUUCUGAUAUCCUUUCUCUCUUCUACUUGCUUGGAGGUGAUAUCAAGAAUAAGUUGCUCCAACACCUUCCCGAAAAUGGAGGUCUUACCAGUGACUUUAAAAAAAAAAAAUACUGUUUGUUCAAAGUAAAGCCAUUUGACAUCCACCAUUCUCUCACGGCAUUCUGAGAACCAAAAUCCAUAGAGGACUUUUAAAUAAAAAGUUAAAAGACUUCACAGUCUUUUUGGAUGUACCAUUACUGAACAGCAGUGUUGAUACAUGAUAAUAUUUCAGACUUGCUAAAAGGACUGCCUAUAAUUUCAGUAAGUCCAGUCAGCAUUCUCUGAGAAGGAACCUGAAGAUAUUCCUGGACUCGCUGGACAUCUUAGAUUUAACACGUGGCCUCUGAGAACAUUUUUCAUCUUUUAAAACUGAGUUUUGGCUUGAAGGAAUGUUUCUGAAGGGUCUGGCUAGCUCCAGGCAUUUAACCCUGGCUGUGCACUUGCAGCACACCAAGGGGGUAUCUGCCAACUGGAAGUCACUGACAGUGUUGAAGAAGAUACAUGACAGCAUGCCACAACACGGCAAGCCCAGGACUGACAAGAGUAUCCCAGAGUACCUUAAUCAUUUUGAACAAACACAGAGAAAUAAGAUACUGUCCGAGGAUCUAAGGAAAUUUUGGAGGCCAGCUUAGGAAGGAAUGGGACCAAGAAAAGGAAUGACAAAGUCAUGAACAAAAGAGCAUCUAGACCAGGCAGCACAUCCUCCGAAAAUAGCCACUACACCAUGUCAGUGAAACAGCUCCCAUCUUCAGAAACAGCCUGUAUUCUCUGCCUUCACAGGAGUGCUCCUGUCUCCCAAAGUGGCCCGCUAACUGGGAAGGAAAUAUUACUUGAAUUAUGACCUAAACUCCACUGAGAAUAAUGAAAUGUCAGCCAUUUUGAAAGACGGCAUUUAGAUACGGAAAUCUCCUCAACAGAGUAUUUUGAGCUAGCCAUGGCUAAGAAAAUAAAACCUCAUGGUUGGUGAGGAAAAAUGAGCACCAGCCAAAACACACGUGUGUCUGAAAUGCCUUCAGCUGUAGUGCAGACAUUAGGUUUCAAUAAGUUCUAACAAUAAAGAAAGUGGCAUAAAACUGGCUGCUUCUACUGCAAAAUCACACAGGACUGAAAAAAAGUUUUUGACAGGGUUAUCAAAAGGAUUUGCUUGAAAUUAUAUUAAGAAACCAUUAACCAAUUUACAUUUUUAAUUCUCAAACAAUUAAUUCUAUGUUCAUGCAGUUGAUGUGGGGGAGAUUAUUGUAUAUUUAAAUCUUAACUAUAAUGUGCAAAAACUUCAACACAAAGUACUAUAUAUAUCAUUCCUGUAAUAAUUAGUCGGUCCCUUAAUUUUUUGCUUACUUUCUUUUCCAUAUCCAUGUAUUUCACCAACUCUCAGCUCCUUGCAUUCCCUAUCCCC